rnacentral:rRNA from 1 species
UUGGAGGGCAAGUCUGGUGCCAGCAGCCGCGGUAAUUCCAGCUCCAAUAGCGUAUAUUAAAGUUGUUGCAGUUAAAAAGCUCGUAGUUGAAUUUUAGGCCUGGCCGGGCGGUCCGUCUUUGGCGAGUACUGUCUUGUUGUCGGGUCUUCCUUCUGGUGAACCAGUAUGUCCUUUAUUGGGUGUGUUGGGGAGCCAGGACCAUUACCUUGAAAAAAUUAGAGUGUUUAAAGCGGGCUAUUGCUUGAAUAGAUUAGCAUGGAAUAAUAGAAUAGGACGUUGUGGUUCUAUUUUGUUGGUUUCUAGGACCACCGUAAUGAUUAAUAGGGAUAGUUGGGGGCAUUAGUAUUCAAUUGUCAGAGGUGAAAUUCUUGGAUUUAUUGAAGACUAACUAUUGCGAAAGCAUUUGCCAAGGAUGUUUUCAUUAAUCAAGAACGAAAGUUAGGGGAUCGAAGACGAUCAGAUACCGUCGUAGUCUUAACCAUAAACUAUGCCGACUAGGAAUCGGGCGUCGUUAUUUUAAUGACUCGCUCGGCGCCUUAUGGGAAAC